rnacentral:tRNA from 1 species
GCCUGAGUGGCUCAGUGGUUGAGUGUCUGCUUUCAACUCAGGUCAUGAUCCCGGGGUCCUGGGAUUGAGUCCCACAUCAGGCU